GAUGAAGAACGUAGCGAAAUGCGAUAAGUAAUGUGAAUUGCAGAAUUCAGUGAAUCAUCGAAUCUUUGAACGCACAUUGCGCCCCUUGGUAUUCCGAGGGGCAUGCCUAUUCGAGCGUCAUUAUCACCCCUCAAGCCUAGCUUGGUGUUGAGGCCUGCUGUCAAGGCAGCCUCUAAAAUCAGUGGCAGUGCUGUCAGGCUCUAAGCGUAGUAAAUCUAAUCGCUAUAGACACCUGGUGGACACUCGCCAGAACCCCCCCAUUUUUUAAUGAUUGACCUCGGAUUAGGUAGGGAUACCCGCUGAACUUAAGCACAUCAAUAAGCGGAGGA
rnacentral:misc_RNA from 1 species